rnacentral:rRNA from 2 species
GCCAACAGCUAGCUUACCACCCAACAUCAAACAAUAUUAACAUAAUAAACCAACACCAAAAACCUAAACCAUUCUUUUACCUUAGUAUGGGAGACAGAAAAGGUUACACAAAGCAAUAGAAAUAGUACCGCAAGGGAAAGCUGAAAGAGAAAUGAAACAACCCAUAUAAGCACUAAAAAGCAAAGAUUUAACCUUGUACCUUUUGCAUCAUGAUUUAGCCAGUACACCCAAGCAAAGCGACCUUUAGUUUGAAACCCCGAAACCAGGUGAGCUACCCCGAGACAGCCUAUUAUAGGGCCAACCCGUCUCUGUGGCAAAAGAGUGGGAAGAGCUCCGGGUAGAAGUGACAGACCUACCGAACCUGGUGAUAGCUGGUUGCCUAAGAAAUGGAUAGAAGUUCAGCCUCAUGUUCCUCAAAUCAAACAACAAAAGCAAGACAUUGAGAAACACAUGAGAGUUAGUUAAAGGGGGUACAGCCCCUUUAACAAAGGACACAACCUUUUCAGGAGGAAAAAGAUCAUAAUACACAAAACAUACUGUUCUAGUGGGCCUAAAAGCAGCCACCUAAAUAGAAAGCGUUAAAGCUCAGACAGAAAAAAGUUUAUUAUUCCGAUAAAAAAUCUUACUCCCCUAAAUACUAUUAGGCCAACCCAUGCCUACAUGGAAGAGAUUAUGCUAAAAUGAGUAACAAGAAGGCCAGCCCUUCUCCAAGCACAAGUGUAAGCCAAACCGGACCGACCAUUGGCAACUAACGAACUCAACCAAAGAGAGCAGUGUGAAUUAAAUAAAUCAAGAAAAACCCACAACCCAAACAUCGUUACCCCUACACUGGAGUGCACCAAAGGAAAGACUAAAAGAAAAGAAAGGAACUCGGCAAACACAAGCCUCGCCUGUUUACCAAAAACAUCGCCUCCUGCAACACAACCAAGCAUAGGAGGUCCAACCUGCCCAGUGACUACAAGUUUAACGGCCGCGGUAUUUUGACCGUGCAAAGGUAGCGCAAUCACUUGUCUUUUAAAUAGAGACCUGUAUGAAUGGUUAAACGAGGGCUUAACUGUCUCCCUUUUCAAGUCAGUGAAAUUGAUCUGCCCGUGCAGAAGCGGA